rnacentral:sRNA from 1 species
GUCAGAUCCCCGAGGUUCAGAGGACGGAUACAGCAGGAACGAAAAAACAUCCGACCCAACAUUAUUCUUGUGCUUACCGAUGAUCAAGAUGUGGAGCUGGGGUCCCUGCAAGUCAUGAACAAAACGAGAAAGAUUAUGGAACAUGGGGGGGCCACCUUCAUCAAUGCCUUUGUGACUACACCCAUGUGCUGCCCGUCACGGUCCUCCAUGCUCACCGGGAAGUAUGUGCACAAUCACAAUGUCUACACCAACAACGAGAACUGCUCUUCCCCCUCGUGGCAGGCCAUGCAUGAGCCUCGGACUUUUGCUGUAUAUCUUAACAACACUGGCUACAGAACAGCCUUUUUUGGAAAAUACCUCAAUGAAUAUAAUGGCAGCUACAUCCCCCCUGGGUGGCGAGAAUGGCUUGGAUUAAUCAAGAAUUCUCGCUUCUAUAAUUACACUGUUUGUCACAAUGGCAUCAAAGAAAAGCAUGGAUUUGAUUAUGCAAAGGCCCGUUAUGAUGGUGAUCAGCCACGCUGCGCCCCACGGCCCCGAGGACUCAGCCCCACAGUUUUCUAAACUGUA